UUAAACAGCUCAGGAGCUGUGGUUGGAUGCAUGCCAGGUGGGGGGCUACAUUUCUUUGAGAAGCAAUGCACCAUCCCCGGUGAUUACAGUAAUCCCGAGGUGAGAAUCACUUGUCCCCUGAAGAAUUGCAUUACAAAGAUUAGGGUAUCGUGUCAACACUAAACAUACGGACAUAGGUUGAUUGAGGAUUAUGUGCAGCAUCAUUGAACUUCAAAUAGAGAUUUCUGGAAAUGUUACUUAAGACAGUUGACGCAGUGGCUCCUUGUAACUUGUUAUCCUGGAUUCUACUCUAUGCUUUUUAAUUCGAACUUCUUG
rnacentral:lncRNA from 1 species